GAAAGCAGCACCAACCGCCCGUCCACCCGCUCGGCCCCUGCCCCCUCCAGCCACCCUCUGGGGCGACCCGAGACACGCAAGCCUGGAGUCCAGACAGGUCAGCGGAAGUGACGUCAGGGCCUCCCUCUUCUGUGGCUUCUCCCGUUACGGAGGACAGGCUCCGGACGCGCAGGCUCAGCGGCCAUGGCUCACGGGCCCAGCCGCUGCGCGGCAUGUGGGUUCUUCCCAGACCGGGGCGCGAACCCGGUUCCCCUGCAUCAGCAGGCGGACGCGCAACCGCUGCGCCACCAGGGAAGCCCAGGAUGUACACUCUUAACUUUCAUAUAUAACAAA